UACGGAGGGUGCAAGCGUUAAUCGGAAUUACUGGGCGUAAAGCGCGCGUAGGCGGCUUGAUAAGUCGAUUGUGAAAUCCCCGGGCUCAACCUGGGAAUUGCAGUCGAUACUGUCAGGCUAGAGUGUGGGAGAGGGCAGUGGAAUUCCCGGUGUAGCGGUGAAAUGCGUAGAUAUCGGGAGGAACAUCAGUGGCGAAGGCGACUGCCUGGCCCAACACUGACGCUGAGGUGCGAAAGCGUGGGUAGCAAAC
rnacentral:rRNA from 1 species